rnacentral:tRNA from 1 species
CGGAAGUAGCUCAGUUGGUAGAGCGUCAGCCUUCCAAGCUGAAUGUCGCCGGUUCGAACCCGGUCUUCCGCUCUAU